rnacentral:rRNA from 1 species
AUUGAACGCUGGCGGCAGGCCUAACACAUGCAAGUCGAGCGGAUGAAGGGAGCUUGCUCCUGGAUUCAGCGGCGGACGGGUGAGUAAUGCCUAGGAAUCUGCCUGGUAGUGGGGGAUAACGUCCGGAAACGGGCGCUAAUACCGCAUACGCCCUGAGGGAGAAAGGGGGGGAUCUUCGGACCUCACGCUCUCAGAUGAGCCUAGGUCGGAUUAGCUAGUUGGUGGGGUAAAGGCCUACCAAGGCGACGAUCCGUAACUGGUCUGAGAGGAUGAUCAGUCACACUGGAACUGAGACACGGUCCAGACUCCUACGGGAGGCAGCAGUGGGGAAUAUUGGACAAUGGGCGAAAGCCUGAUCCAGCCAUGCCGCGUGUGUGAAGAAGGUCUUCGGAUUGUAAAGCACUUUUAGUUGGGAGGAAGGGCAGUAAGUUAAUACCUUGCUGUUUUGACGUUACCAACAGAAUAAGCACCGGCUAACUUCGUG